GACAGAGGGUGCAAACGUUGUUCGGAAUUACUGGGCGUAAAGCGAGUGUAGGCGGUUUGGUAAGUCGGAUGUGAAAGCCCCGGGCUCAACCCGGGAAGUGCACUCGAUACUGCCAAGCUAGAGUAUCGGAGAGGUUGGUGGAAUUCUCGGUGUAGAGGUGAAAUUCGUAGAUAUCGAGAGGAACACCAAUUGCGAAGGCAGCUCGCUGGGACGUCACUGACGCUGAGACGCGAAAGCGUGGGGAGCAAACAGG
rnacentral:rRNA from 1 species